AUUGCCUUAGUAACGGCGAGUGAAGCGGCAAUAGCUCAAAUUUGAAAGCUGGCCCCUUUGGGGUCCGCGUUGUAAUUUGUAGAGGAUGAUUCGGCGAGGGCUCCCGUCUAAGUCCCCUGGAACGGGGCGUCAUAGAGGGUGAGAAUCCCGUAUGUGAUGGGUUGCCUUAGCCAUGUGAAUCUCCUUCGACGAGUCGAGUUGUUUGGGAAUGCAGCUCUAAAUGGGAGGUAAAUUUCUUCUAAAGCUAAAUACCGGCCAGAGACCGAUAGCGCACAAGUAGAGUGAUCGAAAGAUGAAAAGCACUUUGGAAAGAGAGUUAAAAAGUACGUGAAAUUGUUGAAAGGGAAGCGCUUGCAGCCAGACUUGUCCGCAGUUGCUCAGCCGGUCUCCUGACCGGUGUACUCUUCUGCGGCCAGGCCAGCAUCAGUUCGGGCGGUCGGAUAAAGGCCUCGGGAAUGUAGCUCCUCUCGGGGAGUGUUAUAGCCCGGGGCGGAAUGCGGCCAGCCUGGACUGAGGAUCUCGCUUCGGCUAGGAUGCUGGCGUAAUGGCUGUAAGCGGCCCGUCUUGAAACACGGACCAAGGAGUCUAACAUCUAUGCGAGUGUUUGGGUGUCAAACCCAUACGCGUAAUGAAAGUGAACGGAGGUGGGAACCCUCACGGGUGCACCAUCGACCGAUCCUGAUGUCUUCGGAUGGAUUUGAGUAAGAGCAUAGCUGUUGGGACCCGAAAGAUGGUGAACU
rnacentral:rRNA from 1 species